AUUGAACGCUGGCGGCAGGCCUAACACAUGCAAGUCGAGCGGUAGAGAGAAGCUUGCUUCUCUUGAGAGCGGCGGACGGGUGAGUAAUGCCUAGGAAUCUGCCUGGUCGUGGGGGAUAACGUUCGGAAACGGACGCUACUACCGCAUACGUCCUACGGGUGAAAGCAGGGGACCUUCGGGCCUUGCGCUAUCAGAUGAGCCUAGGUCGGAUUAGCUAGUUGGUGGGGUAAUGGCUCACCAAGGCGACGAUCCGUAACUGGUCUGAGAGGAUGAUCAGUCACACUGGAACUGAGACACGGUCCAGACUCCUACGGGAGGCAGCAGUGGGGAAUAUUGGACAAUGGUCGAAAGCCUGAUCCAGCCAUGCCGCGUGUGUGAAGAAGGUCUUCGGAUUGUAAAGCACUUUAAGUUGGGAGGAAGGGUUGUAGAUUAAUACGCUGCGAUUUUGACGUUACCGACAGAAUAAGCACCGGCUAACUCUGUG
rnacentral:rRNA from 1 species